rnacentral:rRNA from 1 species
UAAGCAAGAUAUGAAAUCGUACGGCUCAACCGUAUAUCCGUAUUUUGAACUGAUUAAACUAGAGGGCGAGAGAGGUUAUUGGAAUUUCUUGUGUAGGAGUGAAAUCCGUAGAUAUAAGAAGGAACACCGAUGGCGUAGGCAGAUAACUGGCUCGCACCUGACACUGAGGCACGAAAGCGUGGGGAGCAAACGGGAUUAGAUACCCCGGUAGCCCACGCCGUAAACUAUGGAUGCUA